ACUGCAUAAACAGAAAUGAUUGUGCGAAGGGUGGUGUUGAAUUCUCGACCUGGAAUAAAUGGUAUUCCAGUGGCAGAGAAUUUCCGAGUGGAAGAAGUCAGUUUACCAGAUACUGUCAAUGAAGGAGAAGUGAAAGUUAAAACUCUCUACCUUUCUGUGGAUCCUUACAUGCGUUGUAGGAUGAAUGAAGACACUGGUUCUGACUAUCUUACGCCUUGGCAGUUGUCUCGAGUGGUUGAUGGUGGAGGUGUUGGGGUUAUAGAAGAAAGCAAACACACACAUUUGACUCAAGGAGAUUUUGUGACUUCUUUUACCUGGCCCUGGCAAACCGAGGCUAUUCUGGAUGGAAAUAGCCUUGAAAAGGUAGUCCCACCACUUGUAGAUGGGCACCUUUCCUAUUUUCUUGGAGCCAUUGGUAUGCCUGGCUUAACUUCCUUGAUUGGAAUACAGGAAAAAGGUCACAUAACUCCUGGAGCUAACCAGACCAUGGUUGUCAGUGGAGCUGCGGGGGCCUGUGGAUCCCUGGCUGGGCAGAUCGGCCAUUUGCUGGGCUGUUCCAGAGUGGUGGGAAUCUGUGGAACAGACGAGAAAUGCCUCUUGUUGACCUCAGAACUGGGCUUUGAUGCUGCAGUCAAUUACAAAAAAGACAACGUGUCGGAACGACUCCUUGAGCUGUGCCCCUCUGGGGUGGACGUGUACUUCGACAACGUUGGUGGUGACAUCAGUGAUGCAGUGAUCAGUCAGAUGAACCCUAACAGUCACAUCAUCUUGUGUGGGCAAAUCUCUCAGUACAACAAGGAUGUGCCCUACCCUCCCCCACUGCCUCCAGCAAUCCAAGCGAUCCUGAAGGAAAGAAACAUCACAAGGGAAAGAUUUCUGGUGCUGAAUUAUAAAGAUAAAUUUCAGCUUGGCAGUCUACAACUGAGUCAGUGGUUUAAAGAAGGAAAGCUAAAGCCAGGUCUGAGCUGGGGUGAAGCUAGGAGCCGGAAAGUUGAGCCGGAGAGUCAAACCGGUUUUCUCACGUGGGUAGUAGGAAUGCAACCUCUGGCGCCACCAUGGCUGCUCCCGGAUCAGCCUGAGCAGCAAGAAGAUGCACUCUGAUAUGGGAUGCAGGCAUUUCAAGCAGUCUCUGAUCAAAGAGACUGUGAUAAAUGGAUUGGAAAACAUGGGAGUUGCAUUCCAGUCCAUGAUGACAGGAGGUAACAUCGGAAAGCAGAUAGUUUGCAUUUCUGAAGAAAUCUCUGUGUAAUCUCCGUGUGUAUUCAUCAAGGAAAUAGACUUGUUUCCAUUUUGCACAGAUUUUUUUAAAACUGCUUUGAAAGCGUUAGAGUACAGGUAGCUCUUGAUUUCAAUGUGAUCACAGGUAACUUUUUCUUAGUUGCAGAAUUCUUUCCUAUAUCUUUAAUAUUAUAUAUAUAC